CCUGCGGGCGCUGAGGCGGUUCUGGCCGUGCGGGGCGCGUCGUGCUGCUCCGGACGGCUUUCGUUCCUCUGUACUCGGCGGAGUUUUUCUGAGCUGCCCUCAGGUGGGAUUUGGGGUGAUGAAUGUGCCUGCAACAGAAGUCCGCUGAGAUGGAGUCUGGGGACGAGAUCCCUCCUCUUGUGAUCCGUCAGCGCCUGAAGCAUUUCUGAAAGGAAACCGGUUGAACACGUGAGGGCUUCCUCUGGUGGAAAAGAACAAGAGGAAAUAAGACACUAGGGAAGCUAAUGUGAGACAGCAGUGCCCAAAACACUUUAAACACGACUCAUUUGGCUAACGAGGUAAGACAUCUGCA
rnacentral:lncRNA from 1 species